AGGUUUCUCUUCACUUCCUUAAGUAAGAAAAAUACAGAUAUUAUAAUACUCAUGUGUCUGUUGAUGCCCUCAUGACUUGGGAUGUAGCAAAGGUGUUCUUUUCACAUCUCAGUGACGAGAAAACAGAAGUUCUGGGAAGUUAAACAACUAACUACUAGAUGAUGGAACCAGGAUGCAAAGCUGAGUAGUUGGUUUCAAAAAGUCAGCCCCAUUUUGUGGAUCUGUUUUACUGAAGCUGUAGUGAGUGAGGAUUUGCC
rnacentral:lncRNA from 1 species